CAGAGACAAAGGAAAACAGCAUGGCUUUGGAGGAGUGGGAGCCAGCUUCCCCGUGGGCUUUGAAGAUGCAAACUCCAAUCCUAUCAGUACGGGUUGGUUUCUGCCUGCUCCCGGUGCUUUAAAAGUAUGACUGGGGAGAAGGAAGCGCCUGAGAGUGGCUGUCAUGCCGUGGUCCUGCUGGCUGCUGGCUGCUGCUCUUUGCCAUGGCAACAGUUGUGUUGUCUUUAUUGCUUUCAACCUUUUCACAUUCUUGCUGUGCUUCCUCUUGAUUUGCUGACACAGGCUGUCACUUAGCAGUAAUAAAGCUGUCAAUGGUAUCAGCGACCAAUCUUUUAAUAUGGUAUCAGAAAGUCUGACAAGAGCAUAGGGGUGCCGGAUUUCCAAUGACAAGUUAAUUUAUUCAAAGCACUCUGAACAUUAUUUCCAUUCCUAUGGCACGCAAAUGAUGCCCAGCAAGGCUGGUGUCUGCUGGAUGGGAUGCAGACGGCGGAAGAAUUUGGCACGCGGUGAUCCUGUAGGUAUUCCAUGGGCUGAAAGCAGAAUUAACUCACUAGUGCGAGGGGAAGAUGCAGAUCCAUGCCCUUGUAUCCUCUCAGAGAUCUCCCCUAUUGCCAGAGGAAAAGCUCCAGCUGUAGUGCAGAGGCCUGGCAUCACUUUACCUCUUGGAGCACAUUAGAUUGUGUGAGAGGAUCAGCAUUGCUUCUGCACAGUUUUCUGACUGCUUUGACCAAUCAUAAAGUCAGCACUUCAAAGAAAGAUCUUCAGAUACUAGAUGUAACCUUUUCAUCUCAGCACAGCAAAGCCAAGGAAUCGGGAUACGAGACAGCUCCUGAAGCUAGGUGCUCACCCCGGGAAUGACAAAAUGGAUCCCACAGCCUCCUUCUGCAAUGGUGCCUUCUUCAACCAGUGAGGGGAAGAGGAAUGCCUAUGGUGCAAAGCUGAGAGUUCGGACCUCAUCCUGCGGACAGCGAUGGCAUGCACCAGAUUACUAUGAGACACCACAAGUCAUGUGAGACUACCUGCCUGCCCUUGUGGGGUUCUCAAAGGGAUUUGGUGAAGGUGGGUGCUAUUGCUCCUGUGUGGUACACAGAACUGAACUGUGAGGGAGAAUGAAAUAGCAAGUUGUUCUGAAAGUGUAUCCCUUGGCUAUCUGAUCAUCUCUGAAGACCUCAGGGAUUGGAUUUGAGAAGGCAUUGCUUAAUUAGCUCAUCAGACUCAUUGAACCUGGAAGGAAUUGGGUUUUAAUUCACUUUUCGUAAUAUGCUUUGCUUUUAUGAACCUUAUGUGAAGCACUCACUCUGUAAAUAAAUUAUAUUUGCCUUCUUUUUUCUUAUUCUCCCCACACUGGUCCCAUCUAAUACUCACUUGAGUUGCAUUUAAAAAGUGAAUAAUCACAAACAGGAAAGACCAAAGCUCUUUAGUUUAAACAAACCUUAUUCUGGAGCAGCAAAUAUAGUUUCCUCUCAAUGAAACAAGACUAAGCAGUCUUUGGAGGCAUUCUUAUUAAUGUAGGAAAAAGGUUAUUACAUCAUUACUUUCUGUCUGCCCUAGUAGCUAGGGACUACCUAAAGAUAGAAGGUUAACUCAAUGAUAUAUCAGUCAGGUAUCUGCAGCUGGGACUUAAGCGGAAUUCAAGGCACCUCUCCAGAGAGCAGUGAAAUACUGUGCAGAGAUAUCUCUGCUAAUGAUGUCUGAGAGAGUUUGGUUGUUGGAAGCAAGGCAGAAAAACAAGCAUGGCCAUAUUAUUGUAUGAUGAGGCUGCCUAGAGGCAGAGGAUUGCUCACUGCUGUUAGCCUCAGUCCUGGUAAGGGACUGUGCCCAUCAGGGAAACUUGUGAUGCUGAAGUACAUUGUCUGAGACAUCUGUUAUUGCCAGCAUAACUCUUUCAUACCUGUAAUUCACCACCUCUGAUGGAUUUAGGCAUUAGACUAUCCUUGCCAGCAGAGGGUUGCGCAGACUACGUGCUGCUGAAUUCUCUCCAGUAGCAGAUGGAACCAAUGCAGACAUUGAAAGGACAUCCAGCCCCCUAGCACCAGCCACCCAAGAGGGGCUGCUUGCUAGGCUUUAGCUGGAGGAUGUGACUGAAAUAUCCUUCUUCUGUUCAAUCUGGAGCUGGGAUUUCAUAGAAUCUUAGAAUCAUUAAGGUUGGAAAAGACCACUAAAAUCAUCUAUUCCAACCGUCAAAUCAAUGACUGUAGCAUUUCUAAAAAAAGUACUGAAAUCUCCAGGCUACUGGACAAAGCUAUGAUAUUUUGAGAGUUUACUCAAUACUGUGUCAGGCUAUUAAAUGCCAUUGCAGGAAGGACAGCCUUGUAUUCAGAGUACUCACCUGAGAAGUCAUGGAUCUGACAAUCUAACAGUAUUUGUUUGGUUUACACACAAAAUGGAAGAGCUUCAAGCAUAGAAAGAGAAAAAUCCACUGUAGAGUUUCUUAGACUCCCUGGGGAUUGUGGCAGGCAGUAUGCCUGAACACAGCACUUAAAAAUUCAAGGCUAAUGCUGCAUCCAGCCAUCUCCCUAUUACCCUGUGGGGUCUGCAUCUCUACGUUUAUUAAAAAUGACCCGAACCAAAGUGAAGUGAUUUGUUUCAGGUUAAGCAAAACAUCUCAUUCAAAUCAAAUGCAC
ensembl:lncRNA